AGGCGAGAGCAGCCGAUUGGCAGAGCGGUGCUUUCAGGAACAAUAACAGUGGGGGGAGCCCGGGUCCCGGGGAGCCGCCCCCGCCCCCCGGCCCGGCCGCGCGGCUCGCGCCCCCCGCCGGGUCCCCACCUCCGCGCCCGCCCCGCGGGCUGACCGGCCCGACCGGGGCCCGCCCCCGGCGCCCACCAUGUACGCCUUUGUGCGGUUCCUGGAGGACAACGUCUGCUACGCGCUGCCAGUGUCGUGCGUGCGCGACUUCAGCCCCCGCUCGCGGCUGGAUUUUGACAACCAGAAGGUGUACGCCGUGUACCGGGGUCCGGAGGAGCUGGGCGCCGGGCCCGAGAGCCCCCCGCGCGCCCCCCGCGACUGGGGCGCGCUGCUGCUCCACAAGGCCCAGAUCCUGGCGCUGGCAGAAGACAAAUCUGAUCUUGAAAACAGUGUGAUGCAGAAGAAAAUAAAAAUCCCCAAACUUUCUCUCAAUCAUGUAGAAGAAGAUGGGGAGGUUAAAGAUUAUGGGGAUGAAGAUUUACAGCUUAGACACAUCAAGAGACCCGAGGGGCGGAAGCCGAGCGAAGCGGCGCAUAAGAGCAUUGAGGCCGUGGUGGCCCGGCUGGAGAAGCAGAACGGCCUGAGCCUGGGCCACAGCACGUGUCCGGAGGAGGUCUUCGUGGAGGCCUCGCCGGGCAUGGAGGACAUGGACAGUCUGGAGGAUGCCGUCGUGCCCCGGGCUCUGUAUGAGGAGCUGCUGCGCAACUACCAGCAGCAGCAGGAGGAGAUGCGCCACCUCCAGCAGGAGCUGGAGCGGACUCGGAGGCAGCUGGUCCAGCAGGCCAAGAAGCUCAAGGAGUACGGGGCGCUCGUGUCGGAAAUGAAGGAGCUCCGGGACCUCAACCGGAGGCUCCAGGACGUGCUGCUCCUGAGGCUUGGCAGUGGUCCCGCCAUUGACUUGGAAAAAGUAAAGUCAGAAUGUCUCGAGCCCGAGCCGGAGUUACGGAGCACUUUCAGUGAGGAAGCAAAUACGUCGUCCUAUUACCCCGCUCCUGCACCUGUCAUGGACAAGUAUAUCCUAGACAAUGGCAAGGUCCAUCUGGGAAGCGGGAUUUGGGUUGAUGAGGAGAAAUGGCACCAGCUACAAGUAACCCAAGGAGAUUCCAAGUACACAAAGAACUUGGCAGUCAUGAUUUGGGGAACAGAUGUUCUGAAGAACAGAAGCGUCACAGGAGUUGCCACAAAAAAAAAGAAAGAUGCGGUCCCUAAGCCACCCCUCUCGCCUCACAAACUAAGCAUUGUCAGAGUGCUUCUCAGCUUGCGGGCUCUCUCCUGUCCACUCCUGGGGCAGGGUGACGGCAGGUCGAAACAGGAAUCAGCCUAGUGUUGUUCCAGCAUCGAGUGGAUGCUUGGUGUCUCCCAUCUGUAAGGAUCGCCAUCCUUGUUCUGGCUACCCAGUGGCCCACCUAGACAUUUUGAAUGUUCUUUAAACCCCAUUCAGAUGAUGUCCUGUGCAACUGAUUGGGCCCCCAGAGCUAUAGAACAAUCUAUAGGCGGCUCAGCUGUGUGGACAGCGGCCAUCCCACACUCACAGACUUCUGCCCCACCUGCCACACCCCCCACCAUGCCCCCCCAGGUUUUCCUCACUGAGCCACGCCCCUCAUCCCCCCAACCAAGGAAUUUUUAAACCUUCUCUGCUUUUCCUAACAUGAUAGUCCACAUCUCACUCUUUCUCAAAAGAUGGCCAUGCCUCUUCCUUCAUAGAGAAAAGAAAAGGAACUCCCACAGCUCUGAAGUGCAGACUUCACUGUAGACUUAACUGUACCCUCUGUUCUUCUGCCUCAUGGCCCAAAAGAAGAGUUUCCUUCUCCUAUUUGGGUCUGGCCUGUCUCUCCAUCUGGAUCCCAGCCCCGCUGCCUUCCUAAGUACCUCAUUCUUCCAAUUAUGCUCCCGCACUCCUGCUUCCUUCCCAGCAUCAUUUAAAUAGACUUUGACUCUUCAUUUCUCAUGAAGACAAAUAAAACACUCCCUAGAGGCCACUCCUACAACCUAGCUGCUGCCAUGUCUCUCUUUUUCUUUUCACAUCCAGAUCUCUUGAAAGGGUUGUCUACACUCACUGCCUGUGUUCACUUGUAAUGCCCCAGCUGUCUGGUGUCCACUCCCAGCCCUCGACUACGUCUGUUCCUGCCUCGUUUCCCACACACUUCCUCCUUUCCAAGUCCAGGGCAUGUGUUUCACCUCCUCCCCAAACUGUCUGACAUGACCACUCCUUCCUUACAGCGAAACCCUCCCCCAAGCUCCAUUUCCUCCUGCUUCCCUGGCUUCUCAUCCCUCUCGUGGGCUCCUCUUCUGCUGCCCUGGCAUCUGUCCCCACAGCGUCCUCUUUUGCCACCAGCUCCCAGCUGGUCUCACUUUGUGCUGUGUCCAUGGCCCUCUGUGUGCUGAUGGCCCGGGCUGAAAUCCACACUACUCGUCCUGGUGCGCAUCUGCUGACCUGGCCUCUGGGGACCCCUCUGUCCUCCAAUUUCCCACCAUGCUCCAACCAUAGGGGCCUCUUUUCUCUUCCUUCACCGCCUGCCCUGCACACCCUGCCUCCUUCUGGUUCUCCAGCGAGGCCUUCCCCAACAGCCCAGUCUUCAGGAACCUUUCUGCUGCUCUCCCUACAUAAAGUCUGUGCGUAGCAUUUGUUGUUUGUUCCUGUACUGGGUAAUCGUCUUUCCCCCCUGCCCGGUGGAAUAGAAGCUUUGUGAGCAUCUGGUUCAGGGGAGACAGGUAGUGAGUGCUCCGUAAACAUUUGCUGACUCAGUGGAUGGCGCUCGCAGAUCUCUCUUCGGCUCAGUCCACACUUCGGAGUUCCCGAGCCACAUAUCCUGGUGCCUACGGCCUUCUCCUCACCAAUGCCCACGUGGAUGCUCCUUCCCUUCUUGCUUCUUUCUCCUCCCUUCAGAGCCUUGGGCCCCUCCUGCUCCCCUGUCUUGGUGAAGGUCGCUGCCAGCCAGGGGCCCAGAGAUGCGUCACGCUUGCCUCCUCCACAUGCCUCGUUCUGUCUGUUCUGCCCCCAAAUACAUCUUAAACCACCCACUUCUCUCCCUGCCCCACCGCACCUUUCGUAGUCAGGCCAUCAUUCCCCCCCUACACAACUCCAGCAGCUUCCAGACUCCUGUCCCCAUUAUGUAACCAGAGUGAUCGUUCAGAAACCAAACAUGAUCCUGUUUCCACCACCCCGUCACAGCCAGUCCACGGUGCCCAUUAUUAAAAGAGUGUUUGUAUGACAGAAUAGCACAAGAAACUGUGGAUGAAACUGAAAUUGCACAGAGACUCUCCAAAGUCAACAAGUACAUCUGUG